rnacentral:tRNA from 1 species
GCGGAAAUAGCUCAGCGGUAGAGCAUCGCCUUGCCAAGGCGAGGGUCGCGAGUUCAAAUCUCGUUUUCCACUCCA